AAUGAACGUUGGCGGCAUGGAUUAGGCAUGCAAGUCGAGCGAGAAGUGUAGCAAUACACGGAAAGCGGCGGAAGGGAGAGUAAUACGUGGGAAUCUGCCCUUAGACCUGGGAUAGCAGCGGGAAACUGCUGGUAAUACCAGAUAAUGUCUAUGGACCAAAGGUUUGAUUCCGUCUAGGGAUGAGCCCACGUCCUAUUAGAUAGUUGGUAGGGUAAUGGCCUACCAAGACGAUGAUGGGUAGCGGGUGUGAGAGCAUGACCCGCCUCACUGGGACUGAGACACUGCCCAGACACCUACGGGUGGCUGCAGUCGAGAAUCUUCGGCAAUGGGCGCAAGCCUGACCGAGCGAUGCCGCGUGCGGGAUGAAGGCCUUCGGGUUGUAAACCGCUGUCGAGGGGGAGCAACUUCCAUAGAGUUAUUUUUAUGGAUUGAGUAAUCCCUGGAGGAAGGACGGGCUAAGUUCGUGCCAGCCGCCGCGGUAAUAC
rnacentral:rRNA from 1 species